rnacentral:rRNA from 1 species
AUUGAACGCUGGCGGCAGGCCUAACACAUGCAAGUCGAGCGAGCGGCGGACGGGUGCGUAAUGUAUGGGGACUGCCCGAUAGAGGGGGAUAACUACUGGAAACGGUAGCUAAUACCGCAUACUAUCGGAUAACCCAUAUGGGAGUGGCUAGUAGGUGAGGUAAUGGCCCACCUAGGCGACGAUCCCUAGCUGGUCUGAGAGGAUGAUCGGCCACACUGGGACUGAGACACGGCCCCGACUCCGACGGAGGCAGCAGUGGGGCAUAUUGCACAAUGGGCGCAAGCCGGAUGCAGCCAUGCCGCGUGUAUGAAGAAGGCCCUAGGGUUGUAAAGUACUUUCAGUCGGGAGGCGUUACCGACAGAAGAAGCACCGGCUAACUCCGUGCCAGCAGCCGCGGUAAUUC